CACCAUCGUUCUGUCACCUGAAUGAUGUCAUCAUUCUAGGGACCAGAGAAGAUCAGUUGGGAGGGUUGGCUCUUCGGUUGAGGGUCUCUCUGCUAUAUAAUCCAGGAUGGCCUCAUACGCGUGAUCCUCCUGCUUCAGCCUCCCAAUAGCUGUGAUUACAGUUGAAGAAACAGAAGCUCAGAGAUGUGAAGCCACUUGUGUGAGGACACCUAGCUGUGAAGGGGAGGAUCUGGAAUUUGAACUCGUGCUUUUACAUGUCAUAGAUGCUACUUCUCACAGGGGACCGAAGGCAGCCAACUGGCCGAGGGCCUGGCCAUUGAUUUCUGUUCCCUUGGUCUCAGUCUCCCCAUCUGUUCAAGGGAAGAGUUACCGCUGCUCCUUAAAUUCCCUAAACCUGACUCACUGGGCUCUUAAGAUUGUCAGAUGAAAGAAAUACCACUACGGGACACCCGAAAAGUAAAUUUCAAUUUCCCAUAAACAGUGAAUGAUUCUUCAGUGUCCGUAUGCCCCCAAUAUGAAUGAGGUUAAGUACAGUGCAUGAGCCCCCAGUCCCUGCACCCGCUCCCGCCUCCAGACUACAAAUCCCAUAACCCAUUGCAUCAUCCCUUUAGCAACGGGCUAUCAUGAUUAUUUUUACUCUUUUUUCAUUCAUUCAUCCUAAAAUUGUAUGUAGCCCAUCCAUGGGGUGCC